GCGCCGAGGAUGUAUCAACCUCCUCUUCCGUCUCUACAACCGACACCCUGUAAAGCAUCCUACUGAGAGGAAUGAACUGGUCAUCGGGCAACCUAGAUACAAAGCACACGUUCUGAAUCACUCGUGUAUGUCGGUGCUUGCCAGAAACCUGAUAUUUGCUCACUCGUGAAGUUUGCCAUGACAGGUGCCUUCACAGCAGUAGCUUUCAAGUAGGGAAUUAGCAAUGCAUGAGUUAUUUCUGUACAGUUUAACAGCAAAAUCACGUAAGUGAGGACCAAAAUGCUCAAGCAUUAUUCAUGAAAACCGCGUGAAUGGAUACAUGAAUGCCAUGAUAAUAGAACGGUAAAAGAGAGGCACCUAUUGAACCGUAGUCCAGAGAAGAGCAGACCCUAACAACGGCAACAGACAACAAACACGACAAAGUUCCACAGCAUGUACGACAUCAACGGAUCUUGAAAGCACAACCAAACCCUAACCACACUCCUGCGGCUCAAAAGAACAAACCUAAAUGAGUAACAUCAUCGCACACAGCGAGCAGUAAAAGCAUCUUCAAAAGUGGAGCAAGAACGAACCUCUUCCAUUGCACGGCUAGUGCCAAGGCAAGGGUGACCGACGAAUAGAACAAAGCCCACAGAUCCUGGUCCACCUGCAAAAUGGUGAAUGGAAUCAAUCACGCAAGCACGACCGGCAGCAAAGAGAACACGGGUGCAGAAGAGAGCAACUGGGGCACUUGAGGUGAGGCGAAGUUAAGGCAAGAUAAGACAAAACAGGUUAUCUCAAAGAAAUUUUGUCCUAGAUAAAAUAUUUGAGGACAAUAAAGCAUGAUGUAUAAGCAAAUGAUUAAGCUACAGAUUUCUUUGCAUUCAAUCCCAGGGGUUUGAAGUAGUGGUGAUGGGUAAUAUUUGCUCCACCAGUCCAAAAGUUUGUUUCCCCAUUAUGAACUUAACCUUAUUUAGAAGAAGGGCAUUUUUUAAAAGGAGGCUUCAUUGAUCUGUACAAUUAACUUUUUUAUUUUCUGCUUACUCAAACAAAGCAAAGCUAUUGAUGGGAAUUUUGAGUCCGGUCCCAGUAUUACUGGAAAUCAUAGAAUCCUGGAUAAGUGGAUAGCGUAUCACACUGUAUGCAGUACCACAUGAUAGCAAAUAUCAGGUAUAUGUAAUGAUAGGAAAAGAUCUUUGACAGGAUGAUUCUGGUAAAAGUUUUUUUCCAAUAGAUUGUUGAAGGCUAUAAAAGCUCAAGACCAAGACAACCUAGAUACAAAGCACACGUUCUGAAUCGCACGAGUAUGUGAAUGUUUGGCAGAUACCUGAUAUUUGGUCACUCGUGAAGUUUGCCAUGACAGGUGCCAUCACAUCAAUAGCCAGUAAUAACCUUCAAUCUCAACUCACUCAUGAAGUUUGCCAAAUAAUUUUAGUCAUAGUUCAGUAUAUUGGUAGUGCCUGAAGAUAAACCAAAUAACAGAGAAACAAAAGUAGAAAUUCUACUAUUGAACAGUGAGCCCAUUAACCAUUCAAGUAUGGAAUUAGUGUGCAUGAGUUAUUUCUAAAUAUAGUUUAGCAACAGUGUCUCAGAAAGAGUGUACCAAGCAUAUGCAAUCAAAUAAAUGUCCAUCGCAUGGAUAAAGCAAUUUAAAUGUUUCUCAUGAAUGAACUGUUGAUACAAAAUAUAUUUAUAUAUUUUAUAUAUUAAGUAUUGUAAAUAUUUAUAUAUUUUAUUGUGAAGUUGGUCAAACAGAUACAACGGUUGACUUUUUAAAAAACUAAUACACCUUAUAUUUAGGAAGGGAGGGAGUAGUUUUCACUAUGCACAGCCUAGAACUGCGGGUUAGAAUACCAUGCUAUUUAUAUUAUUUUUUAGUUGAAAAUACCCUACUAUUAGUGAUUUAACAGAAAUAUAAGCUCAGUUGGGAAAUGUAAAGCUUGUAGGCUACAGAGAAAAUCCUCUCUGAACAAAUCAUGCAUCAACAAUGACUAUAAGAAAGAAAACACGGAUCAGAG
rnacentral:lncRNA from 1 species